rnacentral:rRNA from 1 species
UACGUAGGGAGCAAGCGUUGUCCGGAAUCAUUGGGCGUAAGGCGCGCGUAGGCGGCCCUGUAAGUCCGUUGUGAAAGUCAAAGGCUCAACCUUUGAAAGCCGAUGGAUACUGCAGGGCUAGAGUCCGGAAGAGGCGAGUGGAAUUCCUGGUGUAGCGGUGAAAUGCGCAGAUAUCAGGAGGAACACCAAUUGCGAAGGCAGCUCGCUGGGACGUGACUGACGCUGAGACGCGAAAGCGUGGGGAGCAAACAGG